UUGAGCCCUUUUCGGCAUUUAAGAGGUUAAAAAAUUUGAUACUUCGAGAUUGUAACGUUCAUGGUAAUCGAAACUUGUGCAUAUCGAGUGCCAAACUUAUCAAUUUAGCAAUAGACUACUGCAACUUGGAGUUAUACACUCCAAGUCUAUGUACCUUUGUUUACAAGGGCAUUCCUACUGUUCAACAACUCUGUGGGAGCAAGAGUAAUCUCUCUUCAGUCAAACAUGUAAACAUUGAUGUAAAUAUUGAUGCAAUAAGUUUGUCGGAAUCUGUAAAGACUUCGUUGAUUCUAUACAACUGGCUGGUUGAGCUUGCUAAUAUCGAAUCAUUGACAAUCAAUUCAACUAUUCUAGAGAUUCUCUACUCAGUUCCUAACAUAUUGAAGGCUGAGUUUCCUUCCUUGUGUAACUUGAAGUCAUUGAAAGUAAAAACAAACCUAUCAUCCAUACCUAAUGGAUAUCUGGCAUUUUUGCUUCAAAACGCACCGUCAGCAAAGGUUUACCUCUUACGUUGAUUAAGAUGACAACAGAAGUUACAGAUGUUGAGAUUUCACGAUAAUCAGGGUGGAGGAUGCUACCAAGAGAUUAUAUUAAGCAUGGAUGCACUCUAAUAACAAUGAUUUUUCCAAGAGAAAUCUUGAACUAGCUAGAUAGCAUGCUUAAAAUAUAUUUAUUUUAUUGCGACUUUUUUAUGAAGUAUGACUGUGACUUGCUAAAUUAUCAAUCCUAUUUUAUUUCAUUUAUUAUACUUUAAGGGGAUUUAUUUACUUGAAUAUUUAAGGAAAUUAGUGUUUUUAUUUGAUGGUACAUUUAGAAAUUAUCUUCUAUUUAGAAAAACAGUUAGGUUCAGUUGAUAGUAGCAAUUCUGUUUGGUUCAAUGCAUA